UGUUCUUUGUGUGUUCUGAACUGUUCCUUGAGAAUGAUGGGAUCGUGUUGGAGUUCUCAGAGGGAAGUCGAAGGUUUUUGUUUGUAUGGGUUCCAUUGAAGAACAUCCCCAUGGUGAUUUCAAUGAGGUUGAAUCUGUUGUGGUAUGUUCCUUCCUGAGGGUGCGAAUUUGGUCUCGAAGGAUCCGCACACGGGUACCUGCAAGGGGUGAGAGGCGCUUGCCCAGAAGAUUCCAAGCCUGAUAGGUGGUGGUACACGGGAUGAGUAGAAUCUUUAUGGAAGAGGAGGAAGUCGCCUUGAUCCAACUCAGGACCAGUUUGUCUCUGGCGAACUCAGGAUGCACUGAGCCAUCUUCUUGCACUUUGGGUGGGUCUGUGGUUUUCUUGAUGACCUCUGCAAGGCCAUGCAUCUCCAAUACGUCUUCAAAUUGUGAUUUCCAACUCAAAUAGUUGGUUCUGUCCAUGGGAAUUGGGAACAGAGAUGAGAUGUUGAAAGAGGUGGGCAAGGAUGGGAAUGAGAAUGAGGGUGAGGCAAGCUUUGACAUUUCAGAAAUCAGUUUUGUCAUAUCAAUAUGACUUGAUUCUCCAGACUUGGGUGUGUUUGCCAUUUGAUUGGGUAGGAUCGAAAACCGUGAGCUUUGGCUCCGAAGAGCUCUGAUACCAUAUAAGAAACAGAGUUCAAGGGGGAGAGGGGAGAUGAGAGAUAGAGGAGGAGAGUAAUUGAAUCAACCAGUGUAUGUGGUCUCUGUAUUGCAGCCGUAUAUAAUGUACAGAGAGUAGACUUUCUCAAGUCUAUUUACAGAAAGAAGCAAUACAAGGUAAGUACAAUAAUCUCAUAUAUGUUAUGAAUCAAUUCUAGCUAAUAUGUCGUUGAUCUUGGGAGGAAGAAUCUGUCAAGUCUGAUUUGGGGAAAUCAACUGAUUUCCUAGGAUGAACCGGAGUGAUAUUCUCUUGAUGACUCGGCGAAGUUAGCUUGGAAACAAGAAAAGAUGACUGAAAUGCAUCCGAAGUGUAGUAGAAUAGUGUACUUUCUGGUUCGUUCCUGGAUCCUUGGGUGACAACUGGAGUGACAUAGAAAAAGUUAGUUUUCUUCUUGGUUUUUAUGUAUCUUUGGGAAAAACCUCAUUCAGGUGAAGAAUGUUGUUGAGAGUAAACAGAUGGGACAUGUAUUAUCAUUCCACUACAGAAAAUUUUACAGGUCUCACAGAUACAUCAGAUGGGCGAAAUGCCAGAAAUUGAGAAGUAGAAGAUGUAAAUUUGGACCAAGAAUAUUUUCAGGAUUAAGGCAACAGGAGUUGUUAUCUCGUUUGCUCCCUCACAUGGCAGAAGAAUGUCAAAAUACUUUACUUGAGGCUUUGUUCACUUUCUUCCAAGCUCAUCAAGAGAGACCAUCAAGAUCCUGAAAGAAAAACAUGACCAAGGGGCAAAGAUGGAGUUGGGGGCCAGCCUUGUUAUUGAGCGUGACCAAGCUGAACAGGAUAGGCACAAGGCUACUGCAGCCAAGACGUAGCUCCGUCUCAUCCAAGAACAACUGGCCAAAACGCAAGGAUCUUGUUGAGGCGAAAGCCAAGUUCACCAGGUUCAGCUCGGAGCUGGAUCAUGCUCAGGGAGGGAGAGCGGGCAGCGGUUGAGAUGAGUAGAAGCAACUCAAAGUAGAGGCACAGAAGAGUGGGAGCACAUCCACGCAAUCUUGAACUCAAAGUAGAGGCCAAGAAGCGCGGCUACAUGAUGUGCAUGUGAAAUGCAUGGAUGCAUGGAUCCAUGAUUCCAUGUUAUCGUUGUGUUAGUUUGUAAAUUAUAUUUUGUCCAACACUUUGUGCAAUGCAAAU